rnacentral:rRNA from 1 species
AGCUCCAAUAGCGUAUAUUAAAGUUGCUGCAGUUAAAAAGCUCGUAGUUGGAUUUGUGGCGCGGCCGUCCGGCGGGGCUCCUUCAUUGGGGCCGUUUGUCUGGUUUUUCGGCCGCCCCAUUCUCGGGUAGUGUGUCGCUGGCAUUAGGUUGUCGGCUUCUUCACGCCCGUCGUUUACUGUGAAAAAAUUAGAGUGUUCAAAGCAGGCUUAGGCCGUUGGAUACAUUAGCAUGGAAUAAUGAGAUAGGGCCACGACGGUCUAUUUUGUUGGUUUGCACGUUGUGGUAAUGAUUAACAGGAACGGUUGGGGGUAUUCGUAUUCAAUUGUCAGAGGUGAAAUUCUUGGAUUUGUGGAAGACGAACUACUGCGAAAGCAUUUACCAAGGAUGCUUUCAUUAAUC